GGGGAAUAUUGGACAAUGGGGGAAACCCUGAUCCAGCGACGCCGCGUGAGUGAAGAAGUAUUUCGGUAUGUAAAGCUCUAUCAGCAGGGAAGAAAAUGACGGUACCUGACUAAGAAGCCCCGGCUAACUACGUGCCAGCAGCCGCGGUAAUACGUAGGGGGCAAGCGUUAUCCGGAUUUACUGGGUGUAAAGGGAGCGCAGACGGCAAUGCAAGUCUGAAGUGAAAGGCGUGGGCUCAACCCAUGAACUGCUUUGGAAACUGUAUAGCUUGAGUGUCGGAGGGGUAAGCGGAAUUCCUAGUGUAGCGGUGAAAUGCGUAGAUAUUAGGAGGAACACCGGAGGCGAAGGCGGCUUACUGGACGACAAUUGACGUUGAGGCUCGAAGGCGUGGGGAGCAAACAGGAUUAGAUACCCUGGUAGUCCACGCAGUAAACGAUGAAUACUUGGUGUCGGGGAGGUAAACUCUUCGGUGCCGCAAGCUAACGCAUUAAGUAUUCCACCUGGGGAGUACGUUCGCAAGAAUG
rnacentral:rRNA from 1 species